AGAGUUUGAUCAUGGCUCAGAUUGAACGCUGGCGGCAGGCCUAACACAUGCAAGUCGAACGGUAACAGGAAACAGCUUGCUGAUUCGCUGACGAGUGGCGGACGGGUGAGUAAUGUCUGGGAAACUGCCUGAUGGAGGGGGAUAACUACUGGAAACGGUAGCUAAUACCGCAUAACGUCGCAAGACCAAAGAGGGGGACCUUCGGGCCUCUUGCCAUCGGAUGUGCCCAGAUGGGAUUAGCUUGUUGGUGGGGUAACGGCUCACCAAGGCGACGAUCCCUAGCUGGUCUGAGAGGAUGACCAGCCACACUGGAACUGAGACACGGUCCAGACUCCUACGGGAGGCAGCAGUGGGGAAUAUUGCACAAUGGGCGCAAGCCUGAUGCAGCCAUGCCGCGUGUAUGAAGAAGGCCUUCGGGUUGUAAAGUACUUUCAGCGGGGAGGAAGGGAGUAAAGUUAAUACCUUUGCUCAUUGACGUUACCCGCAGAAGAAGCACCGGCUAACUCCGUGCCAGCAGCCGCGGUAAUACGGAGGGUGCAAGCGUUAAUCGGAAUUACUGGGCGUAAAGCGCACGCAGGCGGUUUGUUAAGUCAGAUGUGAAAUCCCCGGGCUCAACCUGGGAACUGCAUCUGAUACUGGCAAGCUUGAGUCUCGUAGAGGGGGGUAGAAUUCCAGGUGUAGCGGUGAAAUGCGUAGAGAUCUGGAGGAAUACCGGUGGCGAAGGCGGCCCCCUGGACGAAGACUGACGCUCAGGUGCGAAAGCGUGGGGAGCAAACAGGAUUAGAUACCCUGGUAGUCCACGCCGUAAACGAUGUCGACUUGGAGGUUGUGCCCUUGAGGCGUGGCUUCCGGAGCUAACGCGUUAAGUCGACCGCCUGGGGAGUACGGCCGCAAGGUUAAAACUCAAAUGAAUUGACGGGGGCCCGCACAAGCGGUGGAGCAUGUGGUUUAAUUCGAUGCAACGCGAAGAACCUUACCUGGUCUUGACAUCCACGGAAGUUUUCAGAGAUGAGAAUGUGCCUUCGGGAACCGUGAGACAGGUGCUGCAUGGCUGUCGUCAGCUCGUGUUGUGAAAUGUUGGGUUAAGUCCCGCAACGAGCGCAACCCUUAUCCUUUGUUGCCAGCGGUCCGGCCGGGAACUCAAAGGAGACUGCCAGUGAUAAACUGGAGGAAGGUGGGGAUGACGUCAAGUCAUCAUGGCCCUUACGACCAGGGCUACACACGUGCUACAAUGGCGCAUACAAAGAGAAGCGACCUCGCGAGAGCAAGCGGACCUCAUAAAGUGCGUCGUAGUCCGGAUUGGAGUCUGCAACUCGACUCCAUGAAGUCGGAAUCGCUAGUAAUCGUGGAUCAGAAUGCCACGGUGAAUACGUUCCCGGGCCUUGUACACACCGCCCGUCACACCAUGGGAGUGGGUUGCAAAAGAAGUAGGUAGCUUAACCUUCGGGAGGGCGCUUACCACUUUGUGAUUCAUGACUGGGGUGAAGUCGUAACAAGGUAACCGUAGGGGAACCUGCGGUUG
rnacentral:rRNA from 1 species